ACGAACGCUGGCGGCGCGCCUAAUACAUGCAAGUCGAACGAGAAUGUGUAGCAAUACACAUGUACAGUGGCGAACGGGUGAGGAUUACAUGGGUAACCUACCCUCGAGUGGGGAAUAACCAGCCGAAAGGUUGGCUAAUACCGCGUACGCUUCCGGGACUGCGGUUCCGGAAGGAAAGCGAUACCGUGGGUAUCGCGCUCUUGGAUGGGCUCAUGCCCUAUCAGCUUGUUGGUGAGGUAACGGCUCACCAAGGCUUCGACGGGUAGCUGAUCUGAGAGGAUGAUCAGCCACACUGGCACUGCGACACGGGCCAGACUCCUACGGGAGGCAGCAGUAAGGGAAUAUUGCGCAAUGGGGGAAAGCCUGACGCAGCGAACGCCGCGUGGAGGAUGAAGGUCCCUUGGACUGUAAACCCCUUUCGGACCGGACGAUGGAUGGGUAACCAUCGGUACGGGUGACCAGAAGCAGCACGGCUAACUUCGUGCCAGCAGCCGCGGUAAUACGAGGGUGGCAAGCGUUGUUCGGAUUAUUGGGCGUAAAGGGCGCGUAGGCGGUGCGGAUAAGCCCUCGUGAAAUCUCCAUGGCUUCAACCUGGAAGCUUGCAGGCGGAACUGUCCGCUAGAGUGAUGGGAGAGGAUGCGUGGAAUUCCCGGUGUAGCGGUGAAAUGCGUAGAGAUCGGGAGGAAGCCCGGUGGCGAAGGCGGCGCUACUGGACCACAUCUGACGCUGAGGCUCGAAAGCGUAGGGGAGCAAACAGGAUUAGAUACCCUGGUAGUCCUACGCCUUAAACGAUGGAUACUAAGUGUCGGAGUGGUACCAGCCCGGUGCCGCAGCUAACGCAGUUAAGCUAUUCCGCCUGGGAGUACGGCCGCAAGGCUGAAACUCAAAGGAAUUGACGGGGGCCCGCACAAGCGGUGGAGCAUGUGGUUCAAUUCGACGCAACGCGAAGAACCUUACCUGGGCUCGAAGCGCAGUGGAAUCCGGUGGAAACAUCGGCGCCCGCAAGGGUCGCUGCGGAGGUGCUGCAUGGCUGUCGUCAGCUCGUGUCGUGAGAUGUUGGGUUAAGUCCCGCAACGAGCGCAACCCUUAUCGUUAGUUGCCAUCAGGUCAGGCUGGGCACUCUAGCGAAACCGCCUCGGAUAACGGGGAGGAAGGUGGGGAUGACGUCAAGUCCUCAUGGCCUUUAUGUCCAGGACUACACACGUGCUACAAUGGUCGGUACAAACCGUCGCAAACCCGCGAGGGGGAGCUAAUCGGAAAAAGCCGGCCUCAGUUCGGAUUGGAGUCUGCAACCCGACUCCAUGAAGCUGGAAUCGCUAGUAAUCGCAGAUCAGAACGCUGCGGUGAAUACGUUCCCGGGCCUUGUACACACCGCCCGUCACAUCACGAAAGUGGGUGAUACUAGAAGUCGUUUCGUCAACCCGCAAGGGGGACUGACGCCCAAGGUAUGACUCAUGAUUGGGGUG
rnacentral:rRNA from 1 species